ACCACGACUCUCGACAAUGGAUAUCUCGGCUCUCGCUUCAAUGAAGAACGUAGCGAAAUGCGACACUUUGUGUGAAUUGUAGAAUCCCGUGAAUCAUCGAAUCUUUGAACGCAAGUUGCGCCCGAGGCCCUAGGUCGAGGGCACGUCUGGCUGGGGGUGGUGAUG
rnacentral:rRNA from 1 species